GUUAUAGUUCUAUCACUUGUAAGCAAAUAGAAACUGUGUUUGAACAUUUUAAUUGAUUGGUGAUAUAUCUAUCCAAUGCAUUUGAGCACUGAUAUGAGCAUUAAAAAAUUAUUCAUCCACUGUAGUUGAAUGGCUCCAGAUUUUGAGGUUAUUAGAAUUUUGACUGAAUUGCUUGAUAAGCUUGGACAUUAGGGAUUUUGAGGUGGAAGAGAAAGGAUUAACUGCUGAGACAGAUGACAAAAUUGGAACUUUUGUUGAAAAAAAAGGACACCCUUAAACAAUAUUUUCUGAACUUAAACAACGCAAAGCUUUCUUAGAAAAUGCUCGAUGUGUCGAUGCAUUGAAUGACCUGGAAAGUUUAUUUAAAGUUCUGGAUAAAUCAAAACGCCUUGAAAAUGCUGGAUGUCGCCUUGAUUAUUAUACAGGAGUUAUAUUUGAAGCUGUUCUUAAAGGGGAUGAUGCUGAGGUUGGUUCAAUUGCUGCUGGUGGUCGAUAUGAUAACAUGAUAGGGAUGCUUGCUUGGUUCAAAGAAGAAAUUUCCAAUAGUUAGUGUUAGUCUAGGAUUCGAGAGAGUAUUUACCGUACUAAGGAAGCAAUUGAAAGAUAAAAAUCGGGUGAUCAUAAUGCUUGAUAUUUAACUUUUGUAGUU